GCAUGCAGUCGAACGGCAGCACGGAGCUUGCUCUGGUGGCGAGUGGCGAACGGGUGAGUAAUAUAUCGGAACGUACCCUAGAGUGGGGGAUAACGUAGCGAAAGUUACGCUAAUACCGCAUACGAUCUAAGGAUGAAAGUGGGGGAUCGCAAGACCUCAUGCUCGUGGAGCGGCCGAUAUCUGAUUAGCUAGUUGGUAGGGUAAAAGCCUACCAAGGCAUCGAUCAGUAGCUGGUCUGAGAGGACGACCAGCCACACUGGAACUGAGACACGGUCCAGACUCCUACGGGAGGCAGCAGUGGGGAAUUUUGGACAAUGGGCGAAAGCCUGAUCCAGCAAUGCCGCGUGAGUGAAGAAGGCCUUCGGGUUGUAAAGCUCUUUUGUCAGGGAAGAAACGGUGAGGGCUAAUAUCUUUUGCUAAUGACGGUACCUGAAGAAUAAGCACCGGCUAACUACGUGCCAGCAGCCGCGGUAAUACGUAGGGUGCAAGCGUUAAUCGGAAUUACUGGGCGUAAAGCGUGCGCAGGCGGUUUUGUAAGUCUGAUGUGAAAUCCCCGGGCUCAACCUGGGAAUUUGCAUUGGAGACUGCAAGGCUAGAAUCUGGCAGAGGGGGGUAGAAUUCCACGUGUAGCAGUGAAAUGCGUAGAUAUGUGGAGGAACACCGAUGGCGAAGGGCAGCCCCCUGGGUCAA
rnacentral:rRNA from 1 species